rnacentral:rRNA from 1 species
GGUGGCGAGUGGCGAACGGGUGAGUAAUAUAUCGGAACGUGCCUUAUAGUGGGGGAUAACGCAGCGAAAGUUGCGCUAAUACCGCAUACGCCCUAAGGGGGAAAGCGGGGGAUCGUAAGACCUCGCGCUAUUAGAGCGGCCGAUAUCUGAUUAGCUAGUUGGUGAGGUAAAGGCUCACCAAGGCGACGAUCAGUAGCUGGUCUGAGAGGACGAUCAGCCACACUGGGACUGAGACACGGCCCAGACUCCUACGGGAGGUAGCAGUGGGGAAUUUUGGACAAUGGGGGCAACCCUGAUCCAGCAAUGCCGCGUGAGUGAAGAAGGCCUU